GUUAGUGCAUAUGUUGAGUUGGAUGCUCAUCCUGAUCAUAGAAGUGAAUAUACAUCUAGACUGGAAUGAAGCUAAAAAU